rnacentral:rRNA from 2 species
AACGAACGCUGGCGGCAGGCUUAACACAUGCAAGUCGAGCGCAUCCUUCGGGUCUAGUGGCGCACGGGUGCGUAACACGUGGGAAUCUGCCCUUGGGUGCGGAAUAACUUCCCGAAAGGGAUGCUAAUACCGCAUAAUGUCGCAAGACCAAAGAUUUAUCGCCCAAGGAUGAGCCCGCGUAGGAUUAGCUAGUUGGUGGGGUAAAAGCCUACCAAGGCGACGAUCCUUAGCUGGUCUGAGAGGAUGAUCAGCCACACUGGGACUGAGACACGGCCCAGACUCCUACGGGAGGCAGCAGUGGGGAAUAUUGGACAAUGGGCGAAAGCCUGAUCCAGCAAUGCCGCGUGAGUGAUGAAGGCCUUAGGGUUGUAAAGCUCUUUUACCCGGGAUGAUAAUGACAGUACCGGGAGAAUAAGCUCCGGCUAACUCCGUGU